rnacentral:rRNA from 1 species
UACCAGCACCCCGAGUGGUCGGGACGAUUAUUGGGCCUAAAGCAUCCGUAGCCGGUUCUACAAGUCUUCCGUUAAAUCCACCUGCUUAACAGAUGGGCUGCGGAGGAUACUAUAGAGCUAGGAGGCGGGAGAGGCAAGCGGUACUUAGUGGGUAGGGGUAAAAUCCGUUGAUCCAUUGAAGACCACCAGUGGCGAAGGCGGCUUGCCAGAGCGCACUCGACGGUGAGGGAUGAAAGCUGGGGGAGCAAACAGG